rnacentral:rRNA from 1 species
GACGAACGCUGGCGGCGUGCUUAACACAUGCAAGUCGAACGGAAAGGCCCUGCUUUUGUGGGGUGCUCGAGUGGCGAACGGGUGAGUAACACGUGAGUAACCUGCCCUUGACUUUGGGAUAACUUCAGGAAACUGGGGCUAAUACCGGAUAGGAGCUCCUGCUGCAUGGUGGGGGUUGGAAAGUUUCGGCGGUUGGGGAUGGACUCGCGGCUUAUCAGCUUGUUGGUGGGGUAGUGGCUUACCAAGGCUUUGACGGGUAGCCGGCCUGAGAGGGUGACCGGCCACAGUGGGACUGAGAUACGGCCCAGACUCCUACGGGAGGCAGCAGUGGGGAUGAGUGCACAAUGGGCGGAAGCCUGAUGCAGCAACGCCGCGUGCGGGAUGACGGCCUUCGGGUUGUAAACCGCUUUCGCCUGUGACGAAGCGUGAGUGACGGUAAUGGGUAAAGAAGCACCGGCUAACUACGUG